CUUGAACGCUGGCGGCGGGCUUUACACAUGCAAGUCGGACGAGUGGCGAACGGGUGAGUAACGCAUCGGAACGUACCGAGAGAGGGGGGAAAACUGUCAGAAAGGACAGCUAAUACCGCAUAUUAUUCGAGCGGCCGAUGUCUGAUUAGCGGGGUGGCGGGGUACAGUCCAACCAAGGCGACGAGCAGUAGCGGGUAUGAGAGGAUGAUCUGCCACACGGGGACUGAGACACGGCCCAGAAUCCUACGGGAGGCAGCAGUGGGGAAUUUUGGACAAUGGGCGCAAGCCUGAUCCAGCCAUGCCGCGUGUCUGAAGAAGGCCUUCGGGUUGUAAAGGACUUUUGUCAGUGAAGCGGUACCUGAAGAAUAAGCACCGGCUAACUACGGGCCAGCAGCCGCGGUAAUAC
rnacentral:rRNA from 1 species